AUUGAACGCUGGCGGCAUGCCUUACACAUGCAAGUCGAACGGUAACAGGUCUUCGGAUGCUGACGAGUGGCGAACGGGUGAGUAAUACAUCGGAACGUGCCCGAGAGUGGGGGAUAACGAGGCGAAAGCUUUGCUAAUACCGCAUACGAUCUCAGGAUGAAAGCAGGGGACCGCAAGGCCUUGCGCUCACGGAGCGGCCGAUGGCAGAUGAGGUAGUUGGUGGGAUAAAAGCUUACCAAGCCGACGAUCUGUAGCUGGUCUGAGAGGACGACCAGCCACACUGGGACUGAGACACGGCCCAGAGUCCUACGGGAGGGAGCAGUGGGGAAGUUUGGACAAUAGGCGCAAGCCUGAGCCAGCCAUGCCGCGUGCAGGAUGAAGGCCUUCGGGUUGUAAACUGCUUUUGUACGGAACGAAAAGACUCUGGUUAAUACCUGGGGUCCAUGACGGUACCGUAAGAAUAAGCACCGGCUAACUACGUGCCAGCAGCCGCCGUAACAC
rnacentral:rRNA from 1 species